CACCAGACUCCUACGGGAGGCAGCAGUGGGGAAUAUUGCACAAUGGGCGAAAGCCUGAUGCAGCGACGCCGCGUGAGUGAAGAAGUAUUUCGGUAUGUAAAGCUCUAUCAGCAGGGAAGAAAAUGACGGUACCUGACUAAGAAGCCCCGGCUAACUACGUGCCAGCAGCCGCGGUAAUACGUAGGGGGCAAGCGUUAUCCGGAUUUACUGGGUGUAAAGGGAGCGUAGACGGCAGUGCAAGUCUGAAGUGAAAGCCCCGGGCUUAACCCGGGAACUGCUUUGGAAACUGUACGGCUGGAGUGCUGGAGAGGUAAGCGGAAUUCCUAGUGUAGCGGUGAAAUGCGUAGAUAUUAGGAGGAACACCAGUGGCGAAGGCGGCUUACUGGACAGUAACUGACGUUGAGGCUCGAAAGCGUGGGGAGCAAACAGGAUUAGAUACCCUGUACUG
rnacentral:rRNA from 1 species